AAAAAAAAAAAAGAUACGCCCAAGAUGGUGAGCUGCCUCCCUCUCUCUCUUGAGAGACCAUCAUAUUUGUGCAAGUGCAGCCAUCAUGUCAGCGCAUAUUUAUUGAGCACCUACUAUAUGCUAAGAGCUGUAUUUGCUACUACAUUGUUCUAGGGAGAUGAGGCAAGUGAGGUCUACAUCACCUGAAGGACACAGUUAACUUCUGGAUUUCAUUCCUGUGCAUCCCCCAUUAUGUUUACAUUUUGCAGCUGAAGUGUGGCCUGGAACUACCCCUGCUCAUUAGAAACAGUGUGGACAUUUUGGAAAGGAAAAAGGGUCAUUUAACAUUCAUCCAUGCAGAAGGGAUUAGCCAGGGAAGACCUGGAGAAAUCAGUUUUAUUGAGUUUGGUCCAAACAUCACAGGAUUAGAAAACAUGUCUCAUCAAUAUUUUGAAAUUGGUCAGACUUGUAAUGUUCAAUUUAGCAAACUUCCCAAUAGAAUGAUACAUGAAAACAGAAAUAUAUUUUAUUAAUUUACAAUGAGAAAAAGAACCUUUGGGAGCCAGAAGCCCAUUGUUUAAUUUCUCUUCCUCUCAUUCUCUCUGAACAGAAACCCCAUAAGAAGCCAAACUUUCAGAAGAUACCUUGAGAAGCAUAGGCUUAGAAGAAGAGAAACAACUUGGAGAGGUGAAGUUGGACCAGAUCCACUCCUUCAUUGCAUGAAAG